CAAAAUCUCCAACAAUGGCUUCACAGUAGUCAUCAAGCAAUAUGUUGGCUGCCUUUACGUCCCUAUGAAUAAUCUUGGGGUCACACUGCUCGUGCAGGUACAGUAGGCCUCUUGCUGCACCGAGUGCUAUCCUCUGUCUGGUGAUCCAGUCCAAUGGUGGCUUCCCUAUAAUUAGUCACGUGAGAACAAAAUUGGUUAUAUGGGAAUCAUAUUCUUUUUUAAAAAAGUUUUGGCCAAUGAAAACGAUAUAGAAAUGAAAGGAUUAAAUAAGAAGCUCUCUUGUCAAGAACUGAGGAACAAUUCAUUACUAUUUCAUUUAGCUAUUUUAUGAUGGAAUUACUGUUUGAUUUAUAAUUUUGGAAUUCAUGAACCAUCUUGAAAUCAUGAUGUUCUUACCUUUCAGACGCAAUGCGACACUCCCAUUUGACAUGUAUGGAUAUACCAGAAGCCUCUCAGUAGCAGUCAUGCAGAACCCAUAAAGCCUGAGGAGGUUCCGGUGAAGCGCCAAGCUGAUCAUCUCAACUUCAGUCUGAAACUGUGCCUGCCCGCCUGCAGCAUUACCAUCUUUCAGCCUCUUGACAGCUACAACAGUUCCAUCUGGUAGCUUUCCCCGGUAAACGUUUCCAAAGCCGCCUUUUCCUAAGAUGUUCUUAUUGCUGAAGUUCUCUGUUGCAACCUGAAGCUCUCUGAACUGAAACCUCUUCACAUUUCCUAGGUUGACAUUCUCUGUGUGUUGCUCUGCAAUAGCCAAUGCGUUACAAUGAAAACAACCAUCGCAUGCCAGUAUGCCCCCAAGUUUGACGAGCAUUGAGGC
rnacentral:lncRNA from 1 species